UCUUCCCUCUGGCGGCGUGCCUAAUACAUGCAAGUCGAGCGAACAGAUGAGGAGCUUGCUCCUUUGACGUUAGCGGCGGACGGGUGAGUAACACGUGGAUAACCUAUCUAUAAGACUGGAAUAACUUCGGGAAACCGGGGCUAAUACCGGAUAACAUGUUGAACCGCAUGGUUCUAUAGUGAAAGGCGGCUUUGCUGUCACUUAUAGAUGGACCCGCGCCGCAUUAGCUAGUUGGUGAGGUAACGGCUCACCAAGGCAACGAUGCGUAGCCGACCUGAGAGGGUGAUCGGCAACACUGGAACUGAGACACGGUCCAGACUCCUACGGGAGGCAGCAGUAGGGAAUCUUCCGCAAUGGGCGAAAGCCUGACGGAGCAACGCCGCGUGAGUGAUGAAGGUCUUCGGAUCGUAAAACUCUGUUAUUAGGGAAGAACAAAUGCGUAAGUAACUGUGCGCGUCUUGACGGUACCUAAUCAGAAAGCCACGGCUAACUACGUG
rnacentral:rRNA from 1 species